UUUGUAAUUUUUCUGUUUUCUAAAAGCUGUAUCUUCUUACUGAUAAUGCAUGAGUGCAUAUUUUUAUUGUAUACUUCUAAGCAGUGAGUCCUAUUUUUUAUUUCUUUACAAAUUAUAUAAAAACUUGCCCCUGUUGUGUAAUCCAAAGCUUAAAUGUGUUUUUUGUAAUCUACUGCUAUGGCAUGUCUCUUUGAUUUCUCCAUUAAUAAUUUUCUAUAAUAAUUUUACUGUAGUAACUAUAAUGCAGUAGAAAGGCUUACAUCCUGGCUCUUCUUUUUUAUUUUUCCUUCUCCCUGCUCCUUUUAUUUAAUGAUUUGAAACUAAAGGUUAUUAGAAAUUCCCAGGGCUUCUUUUGCCAGAUAAAGACAUUCAUAAAAAUUAAUUGAAUUACUGCUAUCCCCUACCCUAAUCCCAACAGCCUGAAGUACUUGAGCAACUAAGUGGAUUGAAAGAGUUUUGGAUGGAUGCUAAUAGACUGACUUUUAUUCCAGGGUUUAUUGGUAGUUUGAAACAGCUCACAUAUUUGGAUGUUUCUAAAAAUAAUAUUGAAAUGGUUGAAGA
rnacentral:lncRNA from 1 species